rnacentral:rRNA from 1 species
GACGAACGCUGGCGGCGUGCUUAACACAUGCAAGUCGAACGGCAAGGCCCUGCUUUUGUGGGGUUCUCGAGUGGCGAACGGGUGAGUAACACGUGAGUAACCUGCCCUUGACUUUGGGAUAACUUCAGGAAACUGGGGCUAAUACCGGAUAGGAGCUCCUGCUGCAUGGUGGGGGUUGGAAAGUUUCGGCGGUUGGGGAUGGACUCGCGGCUUAUCAGCUUGUUGGUGGGGUAGUGGCUUACCCAGGCUUUGACGGGUAGCCGGCCUGAGAGGGUGACCGGCCACAUGAGGACUGAGAGACGGCGCAGACUCCUACGGGAGGCAGCAGUGGGGAAUAUUGCACAAUGGGCGGAAGCCUGAUGCGGCAACGCCGCGUGCGGGAUGACGGCCUUCGGGUUGUAAACCGCUUUCGCCUGUGACGAAGCGUGAGUGACGGUAAUGGGUAAAGAAGCACCGGCUAACUACGUG